rnacentral:rRNA from 1 species
GACGAACGCUGGCGGCGUGCUUAACACAUGCAAGUCGAGCGGUAAGGCCCUUUCGGGGGUACACGAGCGGCGAACGGGUGAGUAACACGUGGGUGACCUGCCCUCAGCUCUGGGAUAAGCCUGGGAAACCGGGUCUAAUACCGGAUAUGACUCCAUGACGCAUGUUGUGGGGUGGAAAGCCUUGUGCGGCUGAGGAUGGGCCCGCGGCCUAUCAGCUUGUUGGUGGGGUGAUGGCCUACCAAGGCGACGACGGGUAGCCGGCCUGAGAGGGCGACCGGCCACACUGGGACUGAGACACGGCCCAGACUCCUACGGGAGGCAGCAGUGGGGAAUCUUGCGCAAUGGGCGAAAGCCUGACGCAGCGACGCCGCGUGAGGGAUGAC